UUGCGGCUAUGUUACGUUGAAACACCGGUUCUCAUCCGAUCACCGAAUGUAAGCAAUGUUGAACCUGGUCAGUACAUAGAUGGGUAACCGUUCUGGAAUACCAGGAC